rnacentral:lncRNA from 1 species
CUUGGACCGAGAUGCGACUGUCAUAAAUGUUCCCUAUGUGACCUAACAAUACGAACGUGAAACAAAGAUUGAAAUCAUAGCGACCAACACAUUCUAUGUUGGAAUACCUUUCCUACCAAUAAAAUUCUCCCUUUGAUGUCUUGGUAGUACUGCUCUCACAUGCGAACCAUCGAUUGCUCCAAUGCAAUCCUGAAAUAGCGGAUAGGGCUCCUGAUUCAAGUGAUGGUGCAUAUCACCUUUGUUGUACCUCCGAUCUGGUUUUACCAUUUUCGUCACCAACACUAUGCAUACACGAAGGACUUUUUUGGAAUAAUGACAUAUGAUCUGCAACGAAUGAUCGAAAAGAGUUUAAACUUGACGAUAUCCUUUUCCAUGUGCCAGAAUACAUAAGAACAUGCCGACCUGUUCGUAUAUGUCGAUAUUUGCACUACUCAAAAUGUUGUACUCGUCCCUCAGAAUGUGCUUGAAGUGUAUAAACAUUGGAGGAUACAUCCUGAACUCUUGAAAACACAUUUGUGUAUAAACAUGCAGAUUUUUUAACAUGAAAAUGUGAUGGCAUCAUGUUAUCGAAAACAAAUACCGACGCGCUGUAUUUGGUGACAAGUGCUCUCGCACUAUGCGCUCAUCAAUUUCAUGAUAUUCCAACCACGUGAUUAUGUCUUUCUCCAACUGCUGCAACACAUCUUUAUCAGAACUCGUAUCCCAAUCAAACAUAUACUAGAUGUCGUAAUUUGUUUCUGACUAUGUGUACAUAAAUGUCGAGUC